CUGUUCUGAUUUUUGGGUGUUUGGGGAAGUGUUAAGUGUUAAGUGUGCAUCACUCAUUAUCGAGGCAAACUGUGCCAAAAGCACUUGCAUGAUAUUAGGCUUCAAUGUACGCUUAUAUAACCGUUUCGUUUUCAGGUGUAGUGGCAAAAUGAUAAGUGUGAAUGCAUACAUAACUAUUAUGUUUUUGGGGGUUUGGAGAAGUGUUAAGUAUUAAGUGUGCACCUAUAC
rnacentral:lncRNA from 1 species